rnacentral:rRNA from 1 species
AUGGGAAAUCCUGCUGAUGCACCCAAACCUUUUCAAUGCAAAUGGAAGUCAUGCACUCUGCCCAAACAGAAAUUCUUUUUCUGGCUUCUACUACAAGAUAGAUUGAACACAAGAGACCUCCUUAACAGGAAGAGCUUCUACAUUGAGACAAGCAAAUGUGUGCUAUGUGAUGAUGAGCCUAAUGAACAUAUAAUGCACCUAUUUUUUAGUUGUGAUUUUAGUCAAAACUUCUGGAUGAGCAUUGGUUAUCAAUGGGACACUAACUUUAAUCUCACAGAGAUGCUCAUGGAGGGUAAGAAACAGAAUACCUGAGGAUGUUUCAAAGAAUGCCUAAUAGCUGGAUGCUGGAGUCUAUGGAAGCACAGGAAUAGCAUCAUAUUUGAUCAUAAAACUAAGAAUAUGGCAUACUGCUUAGCUAUAUUUAAGGAACACCUCAGCAUGAUCAUCAAGAACGCUAAACCUGGACUGAAAGAGGGCAUGUAAAGUUGGUUGGAUUAUUUGUAG